rnacentral:lncRNA from 1 species
UGUUAUCGUAUUGCUUUAUGUGUAACCGUUGUUAUUGCUAGAUAUGUUGAACAAUUUUUAUGUAUUGAUUGUUUACACAUUUUAAAAAAAUUUUUGGCUUCUUUAUGUCUUUUUUGUAUUUUUAUUUAAGGUCUCAAAACUCUCUAAACUCUCUAUCAGAACCUACAAGAGUCCCGAGGCUUACCUGAGGGAGGACGAGCCUGUUUGGUAACUCGGUCUAUGAUGAUCAUUACCGUUUCCUCUUCAGCAUCAGUGAAGUACGUUAGAGUUCUGACUGGCACCAUCAGGACCCUGGGAAGCAAGAGAGUCACUCUAUUAAGGAUCAUUCCAGUAUAUCCAUAUGUCAGAUUUCUGACAGAAGUGACAAGUCUGGGAGCAGAAGAAACAACUGGCAUAAAUCUCAGGUCUCUUUGGUUGAGCCCUGUCAGAGGAAAUCAGCCUUUGACUGGCAAAUGCCUGUGAUGCUGCUCACAUUCUGUGGAUGGUUGAGGAGCGACUCAGUAGGAUCUGGACACAGCACAGGCAGGCUGAGGUGUUCUACUUUUCCAAAGUGAAAGGCAUUGGGUACAGAGUUUCAUUUUCCUUCUCAACUACUAACUGUGUGAC